UCCAGGGUCGGUCUGGGAUACAGUGAGGUAACAUAUGGCUCUUUGGUGUUUGAGGGGUGUCGUUCACGACCUGCCAGGGUCGGUCUGGGAUACAGUGAGGUAACAUAUGGCUCUUUGGUGUUUGAGGGGUGUCGUUCACGACCUGCCAGGGUCGGUCUGGGAUACAGUGAGGUAACAUAUGGCUCUUUGGUGUUUGAGGGGUGUCGUUCACGACCUGCCAGGGUCGGUCUGGGAUACAG